CACGUAGGGGGCAAGCGUUGUUCGGAAUUACUGGGCGUAAAGGGCUCGUAGGCGGCCAACUAAGUCAGACGUGAAAUCCCUCAGCUUAACUGGGGAACUGCGUCUGAUACUGGAUGGCUUGAGUUUGGGAGAGGGAUGCGGAAUUCCAGGUGUAGCGGUGAAAUGCGUAGAUAUCUGGAGGAACACCGGUGGCGAAGGCGGCAUCCUGGACCAACACUGACGCUGAGUGAGCGAAAGCCAGGGGAGCAAACGGG
rnacentral:rRNA from 1 species